UGCGCAGGCGCGACCCUGCGGCCUCUCGGCGGCCGGCGCAGCAGACUGGGGACCCGGCGGUGCCCGCCGCCCACGCCCGCGCGAGACACCAGGCAGGGGACGGCGACCACGGCCCCGAGCCCGGACGCGCGGCACCCGCGGGGCUCAGUGGGCUGAGCCUGGACACGGGACCACCGUUCACCACCGUGUCUGCGUCGGGGUGCACAGUAACCUCGCCCUGCCCCACGGGGUGGGAGCGCUGGGAGAAGACGCUUGAGACCUCCCGGAGCACCGAGCACCGGGUACCAAGCACCGGGCACGGUCUGGGAUGGAGCGACUACGGGCGUCUCCACGGAUGGACCGUGCUCUGCAGGCCUCACUCGGACGCGGCUGCAGCUCCGGUGCUUCAGCAGGAAGGAAGGAGAACGACCUCUCCGUCUGCCAUUUACUCUGGAGUCCGGUGUAACUGCAGUACCUGAAAAUCUUUUCCAGAGAAAAACCUCAUGUCCUACAGGCAAGCCAGCCCAGGACUGAGCCCGAGCACCUGGCGCAGGGCUGCAGGCAGGGACUCACCCCCUGGCACCAAGCUUAGCAUCUGCCCAGCUGGCCAGCCACCAGACCUUAGGCAGCGGGAAUGUUCAGAGUUAGGGGCACGGAAGCUCUCUGUGAGUUGGAGAUUUCCGUUGGUCGGAUAAAGCUGUGUUCCCCCAAUCUAAGUCAUUCUGGUGCCAACUUCUUAAUUACCGACCCAGCCGUGCGUCAGGGACCCACCUGUAAAGUUACUCAAAGGCACUCAUUUUCACCAGUAAGCAUUAUUAUUUUAGAAAAGGACUGUCACAGGGGGAAAGCUAGUGUCCCUGGUAGCAUAGACAGUAACCGUGCGUCAUCUCACACAUGUGUGAAUUCCAGUUUCGGAGGAACCACUGGGCAGGAGGACCGUGGGAGGCCCCGGAGCUGCGGUUCUUCGGGAGGCGCCACUGCCGCUGUUCUGACCCGGUGCCUUCUGCUCUGCUAUUUUGAAACACCUCUGGAGAGAAUCCGAUGCUCAGAGUUGCAAGGAACAUGUCUGAAGCGGCCUGAUGUGAGCACCCUCUGCUGCAACCAGAGGCUGCCUGGUGCUUGAACAAGCCUGCGACGGGGACCUCAUCACCUUCCCAGGCGGUCCUUCCCGGGGCUGCUGUGCUGCAGAAGCAUUCCGGUAGUUUCCACGCACGGAAACUAGUUGACGUCUUGAGCCGUACAGAAUAAAUCUGGUUUC